GGGCUCGUAGCUCAGGGGUAGAGCGCUUCUCUUACACAGAAGAGGUCGCUGGUUCAAGUCCAGCCGAGCCCA
rnacentral:tRNA from 2 species